UACGAAGGGGGCUAGCGUUGCUCGGAAUUACUGGGCGUAAAGGGCGCGUAGGCGGCGCAUUUAGUCAGGCGUGAAAUUCCUGGGCUCAACCUGGGGACUGCGCUUGAUACGGGUGUGCUAGAGGGCAGGAGAGGCUCGCGGAAUUCCCAGUGUAGAGGUGAAAUUCGUAGAUAUUGGGAAGAACACCGGUGGCGAAGGCGGCGAGCUGGCCUGUUACUGACGCUGAGGCGCGACAGCGUGGGGAGCAAACAGG
rnacentral:rRNA from 1 species